UGGCUGAGGGUCGUUGUUAUGGUUUCUGGAGAACUGGUGUUUUUGUUUGAUACUUGGUUAUCUGGCAUAUUGUUAUUUGGUGUGUUUUUGCCUAGAUAUUGUGACUGUUCUGCAGUGUGUGGUGGCUAAGCUAGAUAUUGUUUCUGUUCUUCAGUAUGUGGCUGUUUCUCCAGAUGCAUCAAAAGCAUGGCUCAUUUGUGGUGAGGCUCGCAUUCAACUUGAAGUUCUGAGAGGUUCAUUCAGUGAAGAUCUUGCAGGCGAAAUUAUGUAUUGGGCAAAAAGAAAGAUCCAAGGUGGUUUGUUUUUUCUUCGGAAUCUGAAAAGCAUUUUCAGGAGCCAGUCACAUAUGUCAAGAUAAUACUUGCUGUUUGCUAUGGACUCAUGCAAGUUGGUUAAGGUUAAACUAGAGCAGUUAUCACGAAAAGCUGGAUUCAAGAGGGCUGUGUUUGGCGUUUGACUGACUUCUGCUUGGGCAGAGCAGUCUUGAAACAUAUUAGGUGUACGAGGGACAUCCCUUUUUGGACAUUAUUGACGAAGUGUCAAAGAAUUAUGACAACGGCUGUUUUCUUGCUUUGACGAGGUGUGUUCAGGAUUCCUCAGUUGGUGACUAAAGAAACACACGAGUACGUUCAUUCAAGCUACUGUUUAGAUGU